rnacentral:lncRNA from 1 species
CUUUUUGAAACUGGAAGGAAGGCCCCUUGGUGUCUUCAGUUACUUCUAUGGAUGCUGGAAAGUCCUCCAAGAAGGAAGGGGCUUGAAUGCCUUCAGAAAGCUCCAGAACAUCUACCAUGAGUCACUGCCCUUGGAGGUAAGAAGAGUCAAGUCUUCUUUGGAGAGCGUCUUCUCUGCGGUCUGGAGGAAGACGGUCAAGACCUUGGCUCUGGGAUGGUUCAUUGCUGGAAGAAGGAGAGGCGUGUGCUCACACACAACACGGUGAGGUUUGGACCCAGGACCCUAGUGGGCGCCAGGAGGUCAAGGUGAGUAGAUUACGAGCCACGAACGCAAGGCUUCUCCCCGCCUUGCCCUGUACUUCUCUCCCCUGCUCACGUCCCCUCUUCCCUCCCUUGUCUUUCAUCCUUCCAACUGUUGAGACCAGCCAUCCACAGCCAAGGCUGUGUCAGACUGUCCAUGUCUUCCUCAGUGGCCAUGCCGAUGGCUUCCUGUAAAUGCCAGACAUGAUGCUUUCCUUCAUGUCCAGGUCUCGUUCUACUUCCAUGAUGCUUCACGC